UUAAGCGACUAAGCGUACACGGUGGAUGCCCUGGCAGUCAGAGGCGAUGAAGGACGUGCUAAUCUGCGAUAAGCGUCGGUAAGGUGAUAUGAACCGUUAUAACCGGCGAUUUCCGAAUGGGGAAACCCAGUGUGAUUCGUCACACUAUCAUUAACUGAAUCCAUAGGUUAAUGAGGCGAACCGGGGGAACUGAAACAUCUAAGUACCCCGAGGAAAAGAAAUCAACCGAGAUUCCCCCAGUAGCGGCGAGCGAACGGGGAGCAGCCCAGAGCCUGGAUCAGUGUGUGUGUUAGUGGAAGCGUCUGGAAAGGCGCGCGAUACAGGGUGACAGCCCCAUACACAAAAAUGCACAUACUGUGAGCUCGAUGAGUAGGGCGGGACACGUGGUAUCCUGUCUGAAUAUGGGGGACCAUCCUCCAAGGCUAAAUACUCCUGACUGACCGAUAGUGAACCAGUACCGUGAGGGAAAGGCGAAAAGAACCCCGGCGAGGGGAGUGAAAAAGAACCUGAAACCGUGUACGUACAAGCAGUGGGAGCACGCUUAGGCGUGUGACUGCGUACCUUUUGUAUAAUGGGUCAGCGACUUAUAUUCUGUAGCAAGGUUAACCGAAUAGGGGAGCCGAAGGGAAACCGAGUCUUAACUGGGCGUUAAGUUGCAGGGUAUAGACCCGAAACCCGGUGAUCUAGCCAUGGGCAGGUUGAAGGUUGGGUAACACUAACUGGAGGACCGAACCGACUAAUGUUGAAAAAUUAGCGGAUGACUUGUGGCUGGGGGUGAAAGGCCAAUCAAACCGGGAGAUAGCUGGUUCUCCCCGAAAGCUAUUUAGGUAGCGCCUCGUGAAUUCAUCUCCGGGGGUAGAGCACUGUUUCGGCAAGGGGGUCAUCCCGACUUACCAACCCGAUGCAAACUGCGAAUACCGGAGAAUGUUAUCACGGGAGACACACGGCGGGUGCUAACGUCCGUCGUGAAGAGGGAAACAACCCAGACCGCCAGCUAAGGUCCCAAAGUCAUGGUUAAGUGGGAAACGAUGUGGGAAGGCCCAGACAGCCAGGAUGUUGGCUUAGAAGCAGCCAUCAUUUAAAGAAAGCGUAAUAGCUCACUGGUCGAGUCGGCCUGCGCGGAAGAUGUAACGGGGCUAAACCAUGCACCGAAGCUGCGGCAGCGACGCUUAUGCGUUGUUGGGUAGGGGAGCGUUCUGUAAGCCUGUGAAGGUGUACUGUGAGGUAUGCUGGAGGUAUCAGAAGUGCGAAUGCUGACAUAAGUAACGAUAAAGCGGGUGAAAAGCCCGCUCGCCGGAAGACCAAGGGUUCCUGUCCAACGUUAAUCGGGGCAGGGUGAGUCGACCCCUAAGGCGAGGCCGAAAGGCGUAGUCGAUGGGAAACAGGUUAAUAUUCCUAUACUUGGUGUUACUGCGAAGGGGGACGGAGAAGGCUAUGUUGGCCGGGCGACGGUUGUCCCGGUUUAAGCGUGUAGGCUGGUUUUCCAGGCAAAUCCGGAAAAUCAAGGCUGAGGCGUGAUGACGAGGCACUACGGUGCUGAAGCAACAAAUGCCCUGCUUCCAGGAAAAGCCUCUAAGCAUCAGGUAACAUCAAAUCGUACCCCAAACCGACACAGGUGGUCAGGUAGAGAAUACCAAGGCGCUUGAGAGAACUCGGGUGAAGGAACUAGGCAAAAUGGUGCCGUAACUUCGGGAGAAGGCACGCUGAUAUGUAGGUGAAGUCCCUCGCGGAUGGAGCUGAAAUCAGUCGAAGAUACCAGCUGGCUGCAACUGUUUAUUAAAAACACAGCACUGUGCAAACACGAAAGUGGACGUAUACGGUGUGACGCCUGCCCGGUGCCGGAAGGUUAAUUGAUGGGGUUAGCGCAAGCGAAGCUCUUGAUCGAAGCCCCGGUAAACGGCGGCCGUAACUAUAACGGUCCUAAGGUAGCGAAAUUCCUUGUCGGGUAAGUUCCGACCUGCACGAAUGGCGUAAUGAUGGCCAGGCUGUCUCCACCCGAGACUCAGUGAAAUUGAACUCGCUGUGAAGAUGCAGUGUACCCGCGGCAAGACGGAAAGACCCCGUGAACCUUUACUAUAGCUUGACACUGAACAUUGAGCCUUGAUGUGUAGGAUAGGUGGGAGGCUUUGAAGUGUGGACGCCAGUCUGCAUGGAGCCGACCUUGAAAUACCACCCUUUAAUGUUUGAUGUUCUAACGUUGACCCGUAAUCCGGGUUGCGGACAGUGUCUGGUGGGUAGUUUGACUGGGGCGGUCUCCUCCUAAAGAGUAACGGAGGAGCACGAAGGUUGGCUAAUCCUGGUCGGACAUCAGGAGGUUAGUGCAAUGGCAUAAGCCAGCUUGACUGCGAGCGUGACGGCGCGAGCAGGUGCGAAAGCAGGUCAUAGUGAUCCGGUGGUUCUGAAUGGAAGGGCCAUCGCUCAACGGAUAAAAGGUACUCCGGGGAUAACAGGCUGAUACCGCCCAAGAGUUCAUAUCGACGGCGGUGUUUGGCACCUCGAUGUCGGCUCAUCACAUCCUGGGGCUGAAGUAGGUCCCAAGGGUAUGGCUGUUCGCCAUUUAAAGUGGUACGCGAGCUGGGUUUAGAACGUCGUGAGACAGUUCGGUCCCUAUCUGCCGUGGGCGCUGGAGAACUGAGGGGGGCUGCUCCUAGUACGAGAGGACCGGAGUGGACGCAUCACUGGUGUUCGGGUUGUCAUGCCAAUGGCACUGCCCGGUAGCUAAAUGCGGAAGAGAUAAGUGCUGAAAGCAUCUAAGCACGAAACUUGCCCCGAGAUGAGUUCUCCCUGACUCCUUGAGAGUCCUGAAGGAACGUUGAAGACGACGACGUUGAUAGGCCGGAUGUGUAAGCGCAGCGAUGCGUUGAGCUAACCGGUACUAAUGAACCGUGAGGCUUAACCUU
rnacentral:rRNA from 2 species